CCUUUUUUUUUUUUCACGUUGAAAAAGACAAGGACGCACUGCAAAAAUUCCCAAGAUUAAAGGGAUCAUUUUGCUUGCUCCCAUGAUCUGGAAGCCAAAUCUGCUGUUUCUCUGCCCAAGGUGCGCUGCGGGCCCGUCUAGCCCUGCGCCGGCGGGGGAAAGCCCUGCCAGCCGAGGCAGCCUGCACGUCGGUGACAGCCGGAUCUGCUUAUCGGUGGUGAUAAAGCCACGCCAAACUCCGCAGAGAGCCAGCAAACUGCGGUGUGGGCACGACGGAGCCAUGAAUUUUCAUUAAAAGGAGGGGGGGGGGAAGCAUUUCCAGUAUUUCCCUGUGUGUCUUUGGCCUGGCGCAGCCCUUCUGCUCACUGCUCUGUUUAUACAUGAUAGACAACUAAUUAACAUCCAAGCCUCUUGAAAGGUCUUUUCAGAGGUAAUGUACUGACAGAGGAUGUCAGUAAGGAGCAGUGAUUUGUCUAAGCAGUGAUCACAUUGUUUCAGACUGAAUGAGGUGAAUAUUAAACUGCUUUAAAUGCACUCUUCAUAAAGCACUAA